AACGAACGCUGGCGGCAGGCCUAACACAUGCAAGUCGAGCGAGGACUUCGGUCCUAGCGGCGGACGGGUGAGUAACGCGUGGGAACGUGCCCUUUGCUUCGGAAUAGCCCUGGGAAACUGGGAGUAAUACCGGAUGAGCCCUUUGGGGGAAAGAUUUAUCGGCGAAGGAUCGGCCCGCGUUGGAUUAGGUAGUUGGUGGGGUAAUGGCCUACCAAGCCGACGAUCCAUAGCUGGUUUGAGAGGAUGAACAGCCACACUGGGACUGAGACACGGCCCAGACUCCUACGGGAGGCAGCAGUGGGGAAUCUUAGACAAUGGAGGAAACCCUGAUCUAGCCAUGCCGCGUGAGCGAUGAAGGCCUUAGGGUUGUAAAGCUCUUUCAGCUGGGAAGAUAAUGACGGUACCAGCAGAAGAAGCCCCGGCUAACUCCGUG
rnacentral:rRNA from 1 species